rnacentral:lncRNA from 1 species
AAAUAGCUACUUCUAAAACCUAAAAGGGUUCCUCGGUUUUUCCACGCUCACAUUGCCGAAGCUUUACCAAUUUUCUUUCUUUUCACGCUUUUGCUUAUUUUUCUUUUCCAGCAACUUAACAUUGUUUAUUUUAUUUAUUUCUUUUGCAAGUUCUACAUUCUUUUUCCCUUGCAAUUUACCUUUCCCUUUUUAGCAUUUAGAUAUUUUUCGCAUAAUAGUUUCUACACCGGAAACUAUUGUGCAACUUUUUAUCGGAUCUAACCUUACGUUAGAUUCUAGUUUUAUUUCCUUGGUUUAAUUUAUUGUUUAAUUGAAGAAUCCAAGAACAAAUCCUACCGGCUUGUGGUGGAGUGUUCAAGACUAUUGUAUUACGCAUUCAGGUUCUUUAAUCAUUAUUUAAU